rnacentral:rRNA from 1 species
AUUGAACGCUGGCGGCAGGCCUAACACAUGCAAGUCGAACGAGUGGCGGACGGGUGAGUAAUGUAUGGGGAACUGCCUGAUGGAGGGGGAUAACUACUGGAAACGGUAGCUAAUACCGCAUACUAUCAGAUGAGCCCAGAUGGGAUUAGCUAGUAGGUGGGGUAACGGCUCACCAAGGCGACGAUCCCUAGCUGGUCUGAGAGGAUGACCAGCCACACUGGGACUGAGACACGGUCCAGACUCCUACGGGAGGCAGCAGUGGGGAAUAUUGCACAAUGGGCGCAAGCCUGAUGCAGCAAUGCCGCGUGUAUGAAGAAGGCCUUCGGGUUGUAAAGUACUUUUAGCGGGGAGGCGUUACCCGCAGAAGAAGCACCGGCUAACUCCGUGCCAGCAGCCGCGGUAAUUC